AGUUACUUCAUGGCUCAGGAUGAACGCUAGCGGCAGGCCUAACAUGCAAGUCGAACGAGAUUAAGAGGCUUGCUUCUAUGAAACAGGCGCACGGGUGCGUAACGCGUAUGCAACCUACCUUAAUCAGGGGGAUAGCCCGAAGAAAUUCGGAUUAAGACCGCAUAAAAACACAGGAUAGCAUUAUCCAAUGUUCAAAUAUUUAUAGGAUUAAGAUGGGCAUGCGUGUCACUAACUAGUUGGCGGGGUAACGGCCCACCAAGGCGACGAUGACUAGGGGAUCUGAGAGGAUGACCCCCCACACUGGUACUGAGACACGGACCAGACUCCUACGGCAGCAGUAAGGAAUAUUGGUCAAUGGAGGGAACUCUGAACCAGCCAUGCCGCGUGCAGGAAGACAGCAGACUGGGUCGUAAACUGCUUGAAUUCGGGAAUAAACCUUUCUACGUGUAGGAAGCUGAAUGUACCGAAGGAAUAAGGAUCGGCUAACUCCGUGCCAGCAGCCGCGGUAAUACGGAGGAUCCAAGCGUUAUCCGGAUUUAUUGGUUAAAGGGUGCGUAGGCGGCUUAUUAAGUCAGGGGUGAAAGACGGUGGCUCAACCAUCGCAGUGCCCUAUCUACUGAUGAGCUUGAAUACACUAGAGGUAGGCGGAAUGUGACAAGUAGCGGUGGUAUGCAUAGAUAUGUCACAGAACACCGAUUGCGAAGGCAGCCCACUAUGGUGUUUUGACGCUGAGGCACGAAAGCGUGGGAUCAAACAGGAUUAGAUACCCUGGUAGUCCACGCCCUAAACGAUGAAUACUCGCACAUAGCGAUAUACAGUUAGCGGCUAAGCGAAAGCGUUAAGUAUUCGGGCUGGGGAGUACGCCCGCAAGGGUGAAACUCAAAGGAAUUGACGGGGGCCCGCACAAGCGGAGGAGCAUGUGGUUUAAUUCGAUGAUACGCGAGGAACCUUACCCGGGCUUGAAGUUAGUGAAUGAUCUAUCGAUAGAUCAGUGAGCAAUCACACGAACUAGGUGCGUGAUGGUGUCGUCAGCUCGUGCCGUGAGGUGUUGGGUGACGUCCCGCAACGAGCGCAACCCCUAUGUUAGUUGCCAGCACGUUAAGGUGGGGACUCUAAACAGACUGCCUGUGCAAACAGAGAGGAAGGGACGACGUCAAGUCAUCAUGGUGUUUACGUCGGGCUACACACGUGCUACAAUGGAUGGUACAGAGGGCAGCAAGCUGGCAACAGCAAGCGAAUCUCAACGCUCCAUUCACAGUUCGGAUAGAGGUCUGCAACUCGACCUCUUGAAGUUGGAUUCGCUAGUAAUCGCGUAUCAGCAAUGACGCGGUGAAUACGUUCCACCCCUUGUACACACCGCCCGUCAAGCCAUGGAAGUUGGGUACCUAAAGUAUGUAACCGUAAGGAGCGUCCUAGUACCAAACCGAUAACUGGGGCUAAGUCGUAACAAGCAC
rnacentral:rRNA from 1 species